rnacentral:lncRNA from 1 species
UGCAACCUCCAGCUACCAGGUUCAAGUGAUCCUCCUGCCUCAGCCUCCUGAGUAGCUCGGAUUACAGGUGUGCACCACCAUGCCCAGCUAAUUUUUGUAUUUUUAGUAGAGACUAAUGGUUGCACAACUCUUAUUCAAAAUCAUUAAAUUAUAUACUUAAAACGGAUCCAUUUUAUGGUAGAUAAAUGAUACCUCAAUAAAACCAUUAAUCAAAUAUUAAUUGCAAAUAGAACUGAGAGUGGAGAAAUCAUUUCUGGUUUUGGACAUUAGGAAAGGCUUCCUGGAGGAGGUGGCAUACAUGAUGGACUUGAUAAGUUGAACUGGCCCAAACGCUAAUAGUGUCCAGAAUUGCCUGCUAUGAGCCCUUCAUAAGACAUCUCACUUAAUUCUCAGAACAACUGCAUUGUACAGAUGAGGUAACCUGGAAGCAGAUGUUGAGUGGCCAACGUAAAGCUACGCAAGUAACAUGUAAUGGAACUGAGCCUGCAGCUCAUAUCCCUUCAGCAUCAAAGCCCAGGCCUAUAACCACUCUAGAAUCCCACCUCUGGUCACUGCUCUUAAAUCUCUGCAAAUACGGGGAUGCAGUGGUUUUUUUGGAGCAAUCUGUCAUAAUCUUGUUUGCCCAAAGACGGCCUAAUUUGCCACUAUCUAACCAAAUUCAAACCUUAUGGCAAGGUAACGUAAUAAAACCACCCUUCUAAUAACGCACCUGCUUAAGGCAAAUGAAUUGCUCAGAUAUAAAAUUAGAAUUGCGCUCUCAAAGUGCACGAGACCUGGAGGAUACAUUGUGCUUUAACAUUGAUUUCAAUUACGUCUUAACCUUCAGCAUGAUGAUGUGACAUUAUACUCUUCUCUCACUGACUGCUGCUGUACACUUUCUUUUAUUUCUCUUGUU